UUGAACGCUGGCGGCAUGCCUUACACAUGCAAGUCGAACGGCAGCACGGGUGCUUGCACCUGGUGGCGAGUGGCGAACGGGUGAGUAAUACAUCGGAACAUGUCCUGUAGUGGGGGAUAGCCCGGCGAAAGCCGGAUUAAUACCGCAUACGAUCUACGGAUGAAAGCGGGGGACCUUCGGGCCUCGCGCUAUAGGGUUGGCCGAUAGCUGAUUAGCUAGUUGGUGGGGUAAAGGCCUACCAAGGCGACGAUCAGUAGCUGGUCUGAGAGGACGACCAGCCACACUGGGACUGAGACACGGCCCAGACUCCUACGGGAGGCAGCAGUGGGGAAUUUUGGACAAUGGGCGAAAGCCUGAUCCAGCAAUGCCGCGUGUGUGAAGAAGGCCUUCGGGUUGUAAAGCACUUUUGUCCGGAAAGAAAUCCUUGGCUCUAAUACAGUCGGGGGAUGACGGUACCGGAAGAAUAAGCACCGGCUAACUACGUG
rnacentral:rRNA from 1 species